CCUGCCCAAGAGAUCGGGAUAACACCUGGAAACAGAUGCUAAUACCGUAUAACAAUAGAUGAUGCCUAUCAACUGUUUAAAAGAUGGUUCUGCUAUCACUCUUGGAUGGACCUGCGGUGCAUUAGCUAGUUGGUAGGGUAACGGCCUACCAAGGCGAUGAUGCAUAGCCGAGUUGAGAGACUGAUCGGCCACAUUGGGACUGAGACACGGCCCAAACUCCUACGGGAGGCAGCAGCG
rnacentral:rRNA from 1 species